rnacentral:lncRNA from 1 species
UUUAAUUUUAUGAAUCUCGAUAUUAGAAAUUAAGGUGACCAAUAGGUGAAGUUGUUCCGCCCUAAUCUCCAUUUAUUAUUUGAAUUCUCACUAAUUUUUUGUUGCAUUCUCGAUAUUUUUAGUAGUUAGAUUUAAAUAUUUAUUUAUAUUCAUCAAAUAGGAGUUAGGAAUAAUAAAUUGAAUACUAAAGUAUAGUCCUCGUGGGAACGAUAAUCCGGACUCAAAAGAUCCAUUUUACUACUUGUUACGAUCCGUCCACUUGCGGGAUAAAAUCGACAACAAGUUUUAGCGUCGUUGCCGGGGACUAUUAUUUUUAGUUUUAAUUUUUUUUAUUUUUCUAUCUAAUUUUUAAAUAUUAUUUGAUUUGCUUGUUUUCUUUUAUUUACAGAAAAUUGUGUUCGUUGUAUGCUCCGUGCCCAAGGCGACAAUCUUGAACCGUUUGAUUCGAAAAUAGAACGUACCUUUAGACAAAGACGUAGGGGAUACAAACAAAAACAGCAACAUCAAAUGGCUGAUAAUCUAAACAAUCCUAACCCUAUACAGCCAAUUGGACAAAUGGCCGUGAGAGCUCAACAGCAAGAGCAAAGGGAAGUAAAUGAAGGGGACUUGCCAAUUUCUAUGUUUUUGACGCCUAUAGGAGCACCCGCGCGGUCCAGCAUAUUAUAUCUAGAUUUUGGAGUAAACAACUUUCAAAUACGGGCUGAUUGGAUUAAUUUGAUGAACAACACUCUACAAUUCUAUGGGUUACCUCAUGAGAAUCCAAACACACAUAUCUUAAGGUUUCUCAGGAAUUGCCAGAAUUGUCAUGCUCCUGGGGUUAAUGAGGACGCCAUCAAGCUACGAUUAUUCCCAUAUACACUGAGAGAUGCAGCAUUAGAAUGGUUGGAUGCCGAACCGGAUGGAAUUAUUACCACAUGGGAGGAACUGACUAGGAAAUCCUGCAAUAAGUUCUUUCUACCAGCUAAAGUAGCAAAAAUUAGACUCGAAAUCCAAACUUUUCAACAGAAAGAUGAGGAGAGCUAUCACAAGGCAUGGAAUAGAUUUAAGGAGUUGAUGAGGAAGUGUCCAAAUCAUGGGAUCACUAUUGGAAAUCAAGUGCAUUAUUUCUACACGGGACUUUCACCACUAUCCAAAUCUCAAGUGGAUUCCUCUGUAGGUGGAUCGAUCAUAGGAAAAUCAGUGCAGCAAUGUACGGAUCUAGUUGAGUUGAUUGCCACUACUCAUUCCAUAUUUUCAUCAGAAAGAGUGGUGCCUCCAAAAACAGCUGGAAUAUAUGAAUUAGACAGCACAACAUCUACCAACGCCCAAAUAGCAGCAUUAACAAAAUAAGUAGAGUUAUUGGUGAAGUCACAAACAAAAGGAGUGUAACUGGCCCAUCUUACGAAAACUGCGGGGCAAAUCACCUAACAGAAAAUUGCACAUCUAUGGGCUUUCCGGAGGAACAAGUCAACUUCAUUCAAAAUGACUCUCGAAAUUUUAAUCCCUUUUCACAAACAUAUAACCUAGGAUGGAGACAACACCCAAAUUUCAGAUGGUCGGAUAAUCAGCAAGGGAACGAUUCAAACAAUGCACAACAGGAGAAAACGCCAAGUUUGGGAGAGAUGUUCAACCAGUACAUAUAGAAGACAGACAAGGUGUUCCAGCAGAUUGAUACUAACUUUCAGAAUCAGCAAGCAUCCAUUAAGAAGCUGGAAACUCAAAUUGUUCAGAUUGCUCAACAGCUUAUCGAACGCCCACAAGGGACAUUGACAGGUAACACAAUGGUUAAUCCAAAAGAGCAAGUGCAAGCUAUUACAACUAGAAGUGGAGUGCAACUUCCGGAGACAUAUGUGAAGAGACCAGACAGAAAGGACAAAGAAGUAAUGGUUGAAGAGGCUGGGAUAGAAGCAAAGUCUGAACAACCAACUAACGAGGAGGAUAAAAGGAAAUAAACACCCACAAUGAGAGCACCCAGCCCGGUGAAAGCUUAUGUGCCACCAAUUCCCUUCUCUCAGAGGCUACAAAGAAAGAAGUUGGACAAGCAGUUUGCCAAGUUUGUGGAGAUUUUCAAAAAACUGCACAUCAAUAUUCCAUUUACAGAUGCAAUUGCCCAAAUGCCCAGCUAUGCUAAAUUCUUGAAGAAGAUCCUAUCUAACAAAAGAAAGCUGGAAGAACAUGAGACAGUCUGCUGAUAAGUAUGUUUUUACACACUUAUUUGGUUCACAAACAUGACUUAAACAUGGAUAAAAUGGUUGAAAUGUGGCUUAAUCCUAUUAAAUUCAUGCAAUGUAGGUAUUUCAAUGGAAAUUGUGGAAUUCAGGAGAUAAGAGCCAAAGAAGGACCAAAACGCAACAAAGUGAUAGUUCGAGGACCAAAUGUGCAAAUACUGAGAAGUUGAGCUAAAUGCAAAACGAGAGUAAAAACAUGCCAAGUAUGAGCUCAAUGACAAAGCAAAACAAUUGGAAGAAGAAAGUAUUGAAGAGGGACUGAAAUGAAGACAAUUGAAAGUUGGAGGACUAAAGCGCAAAUACUCAAAAGAUGUGCCGAAUGAGUGGCAGGAGAUUUGAUGGUGUCAAUCAUCAAUUGGAAGAUAAAAUUUGUUGAAAAGAUGAAGAAAUCGAAGAAAGAAGUCAAGAGAAGCAACAAGGAAGUUCAGGGACCAAAAUGUAAAAAAUCACAUAGUUGGUUAUAUCUAUGCGACCGCAUAGUGUAACCAUCUAUGCGGUCGCAUAGAUGGAUGCAGGGAAAAUAAUGGGGCAUUUCAAAUGACCUAUGCGACCGCAUAGGAUCCUUCUAUGCGGUCGCAUAGAAGAAAAUAAUGGGGCGUUUCUGCAGUUUCCUUUUUCGACUCCAACUCUCUUUUUUUUUACCUAAUUUGGACACGCUAUAUAUACCCUAAAAUACGUCCAGAACUAGGGUAGACAAUUUUGGGAGAAAAGAGGCACACAAUAACAUCAAGAUCUAAGAAUUUAUGCAAGAAGAAGGAGGAUUUCAUCAAGAUUGAAGAUUUCAAGCAUCAAUUAUAAUAGGGUGAUGUCUUCUCCUUUAUUGAAUCUUUGUAAUUUUCUUCAAAACAUGAUAGGCUAAUUUUUUAUUUCAUUGGGAGUCGAUGAACCUUUG